GUCGCUAUGGGUCGCUAUGGGUCUCGCUAUGGGUCGCUAUGGGUCGCUAUGGGUGGCUAUGGGUCGCUCUGGGUCGCUAUGGGUCUCUAUGGAUCACUAUGGGUUGCGCUAUGGGUCGCUAUGGGUCGCUAUGGGUCGCUAUGGGUCUCGCUAUGGGUCGCUAUGGGUCGCUAUGGGUCGCUAUGGGUCUCGCUAUGGGUCGCUAUGGGUGGCUAUGGGUCGCUAUGGGUGGCUAUGGGUCGCUAUGGGUGGCACUAUGUGUCGCUAUGGGUCUCGCUAUGGGUCACUAUGGGUCGCUAUGGGUCGCUAGGGGUUGCUAUGGGUCGCUCUGGGUCGCAGUGGGUCGCUAUGGGUCGCUAUGGGUCGCUAAGGGUCUUGCUAUGGGUCUCUAUGGGUCGCUAUGGGUCUCUAUGGGUCACUAUGGGUCACUAUGGGUCGCUAUGUGUCGCUAUGGGUCUCGCUAUGGGUCGCUAUGGGUCGCUAUGGGUCGCAGUGGGUCGCUAUGGGUCGCUAUGGGUGGCUAUGGGUGGCUAUGGGUGGCUAUGGGUGGCUAUGGGUCACUAUGGGUCUCGCUAUGGGUCUCGCUAUGGGUCGCUAUGGGUGGCUAUGGGUCACUAUGGGUCACUAUGGGUCGCUAUGGGUCUCUAUGAGUCACUAUGGGUCUCGCUAUGGGUCACUAUGGGUCGCUAUGUUUCGCUAUGGGUCGCAGUGGGUCGCUAUGGGUCGUGCUAUGGGUCACUAUGGGUCACUAUGGGUCUCUAUGGGUCACUAUGGGUCGUGCUAUGGGUCACUAUGGGUCGCUAUGGGUCUCUAUGGAUCACUAUGGGUUGCGCUAUGGGUCGCUAUGGGUCGCUAUGGGUCUCUAUGGGUCACUAUGGGUGGCUAUGGGUCGCUAUGGGUCGCUAUGGGUGGCUAUGGGUCUCGCUAUGGGUCGCUAUGGGUCGCUAUGGGUCGCUAUGGGUCGCAGUGGGUCGCUAUGGGUCUCUAUGUGUCUCAGUGGGUCGCAGUGGGUCGCUAUGUGUCGCUAUGGGUCUCGCUAUGGGUCUCUAUGUGUCUCAGUGGGUCGCUAUGGGUCGCAGUGGGUCGCUAUGGGUCGCUAUGGGUCGCUAAUGGGUCACAAUGGGUCGCUAUGGGUCGCAGUGGGUCGCUAUGGAUACUGGUUGUGGGUCGCUAUGUGUCGCUAUGGGUCGCAGUGGGUCGCAGUGGGUCGCUAUGGGUCACAAUGGGUCGCUAUGGGUCGCUCUGGGUCUCUAUGUGUCUCAGUGGGUCGCUAUGGGUCCCUAUGGAUCGCUAUGGGUCGCAGUGGGUCGCAGUGGGUCGCUGUGGGUCUCUAUGUGUCUCAGUGGGUCGCUAUGGGUCGCUAUGUGUCGCUAUGGGUCGCUAUGGGUCAGGGCUGUGGGUCUCUAUGUGUCUCAGUGGGUCGCAGUGGGUCGCUAUGGGUUGCAGUGGGUCGCUAUGGAUCCUGGUUGUGGGUCGCUAUGGGUCGCUAUGGGUCGCUAUGGGUUGCGCUAUGGGUUGCUAUGGGUCUCUAUGUGUCUCUAUGUGUCUCAGUGGGUCGCAGUGGGUUGCUAUGGGUCGCUAUGGGUCGCAGUGGGUCAGGCUCACCGGGCAGCAGGAGGUUUCCGAAGCUGUAGCCGGCGGUGGCGGCGAUGACGAGCGCCCCCCUUCCCGCGCAUUGACCGUCACGGAUCCGGCCCCCGCUGCCCGUGGCCGCGCCGCUGAACGGGGACACCGCUGACAAAAAGAGAUGGGGGGGGGGGGAAAGGGGGCACUUGGGGGGCACAGCCCCAUAGAGAGACAGCGAUGCCCCAUAGGGAGACAAUGCUGCCCCAUAGGGAGCAGUGCCGCUGAACGGGGACACCGCUGACAAAAAGGGGGAAAAGGGGGCGAAGUGGGGGGCACUUGGGGGGCACUUGGGGGGCACUUGGGGGGCACGGCCCCAUAGAGAGAGAGCGAUGCCCCAUAGGAAGCGGCGCUGCCCCAUAGAGAGACUGCGCUGCCCCACAGAGAGACUACGCUGCCCCAUAGGAAGCGGCGCUGCCCCAUAGAGAGACAAUGCUGCCCCAUAGGAAGCGGCGCUGCCCCAUAGAGAGACAAUGCUGCCCCAUAGGGAGACAAUGCUGCCCCACAGGGAGACAACACUGCCCCAUAGGGGGACAUCGCUGCCCCAUAAGUAGCGGCGCUGCUCCAUAGGGAGACAACACUGCCCCAUAGGGAGACAAUGCUGCCCCAUAAGUAGCAGCGCUGCCCCAUAGAGAGACUACGCUGCCCCAUAGGGAGACAACACUGCCCCACAGGGAGACAACGCUGCCCCAUAAGUAGCAGCACUGCCCCAUAGGGGGACAUCGCUGCCCCAUAAGUAGCGGCGCUGCUCCAUAGGGAGACAAUGCUGCCCCAUAGGGAGCAGCACUGCCCCAUAGGGAGACAAUGCUGCCCCAUAGGGAGACAAUGCUGCCCCAUAAGGAGCGGUGCCGCUGAACGGGGACACUGCUGCCGAAAAAAGAGGGGGGGGGAAAGGAUGUGGGGGGCACUUGGGGGGCAAGGCCCCAUAGAGAGACUACGCUGCCCCAUAGGAAGCGGCGCUGCCCCAUAGAGAGACUACGCUGCCCCAUAGCGAGACAGCGAUGCCCCAUAGGGAGACAAUGCUGCCCCAUAGGGAGCAGUGCCGCUGAACGGGGACACCGCUGACAAAAAGGGGGGGAAAGGGGGCGAUGUGGGGGGCACUUGGGGGGCACGGC
rnacentral:lncRNA from 1 species